rnacentral:rRNA from 1 species
GCAAGUCGUACGAGAACGCUUCAGCUUGCUGAAGCAAGUAAAGUGGCGCACGGGAGAGUAAUGCGUGGGUACUCUACCUUCGAAUCGGGGUUAACUUCGCGAAAGCGGGGCUAAUACCGGAUAACAUCUAUUGGAUUCCGGUCUUUAAGAUCAAAGGUGGCCUCUACAUGUAAGCUACCGUUCGGGGAUGAGCCCGCGUACCAUUAGCUUGUUGGUGGGGUAAAGGCCUACCAAGGCUACGAUGGUUAGCUGGUCUGAGAGGAUGAUC